rnacentral:rRNA from 1 species
UUUAUAAAGAGUUUGAUCCUGGCUCAGGACGAACGCUGGCGGCGCGCCUAACACAUGCAAGUCGAACGAGCGAGAGAGAGCUUGCUCUCUCAAGCGAGUGGCGAACGGGUGAGUAACNNNNNNNNNNCGAGUGGCGAACGGGUGAGUAACGCGUGAGGAACCUGCCUCAAAGAGGGGGACAACAGUUGGAAACGACUGCUAAUACCGCAUAAGCCCACGGGUCGGCAUCGACCAGAGGGAAAAGGAGCAAUCCGCUUUGAGAUGGCCUCGCGUCCGAUUAGCUAGUUGGUGAGGUAAUGGCCCACCAAGGCGACGAUCGGUAGCCGGACUGAGAGGUUGAACGGCCACAUUGGGACUGAGACACGGCCCAGACUCCUACGGGAGGCAGCAGUGGGGAAUAUUGCACAAUGGGGGAAACCCUGAUGCAGCGACGCCGCGUGGAGGAAGAAGGUCUUCGGAUUGUAAACUCCUGUUGUUGAGGAAGAUAAUGACGGUACUCAACAAGGAAGUGACGGCUAACUACGUGCCAGCAGCCGCGGUAAAACGUAGGUCACAAGCGUUGUCCGGAAUUACUGGGUGUAAAGGGAGCGCAGGCGGGAAGACAAGUUGGAAGUGAAAUCUAUGGGCUCAACCCAUAAACUGCUUUCAAAACUGUUUUUCUUGAGUAGUGCAGAGGUAGGCGGAAUUCCCGGUGUAGCGGUGGAAUGCGUAGAUAUCGGGAGGAACACCAGUGGCGAAGGCGGCCUACUGGGCACCAACUGACGCUGAGGCUCGAAAGUGUGGGUAGCAAACAGGAUUAGAUACCCUGGUAGUCCACACCGUAAACGAUGAUUACUAGGUGUUGGAGGAUUGACCCCUUCAGUGCCGCAGUUAACACAAUAAGUAAUCCACCUGGGGAGUACGACCGCAAGGUUGAAACUCAAAGGAAUUGACGGGGGCCCGCACAAGCAGUGGAGUAUGUGGUUUAAUUCGACGCAACGCGAAGAACCUUACCAAGUCUUGACAUCC